UCUCCGUAGGUGAACCUGCGGAGGGAUCAUUAACGAGUUCCCCGUACCGGGUAGGAUUCCCACCCUAUGUUAUCAUUAUCUCUGUUGCUUUGGCGGGCCGCCCGGCCUCGGUCAGGCUACCGGCUCCGGCUGGUAAGCGCCCGCCAGAGGACCCCAAACUCUGAAUAUUAGUGUCGUCUGAGUACUAUAUAAUAGUUAAAACUUUCAACAACGGAUCUCUUGGUUCUG
rnacentral:misc_RNA from 1 species